GUCAAAUACAGAAUGUGAUGUUCCAUUCCAGCCAAUGGAAACCGGACGCUGCAGUAGGGUGGACACGUCAGGUUAUAAAUGACCCUGUUUCCUUUGUUUAGUGUACUCUAGUGGCAAAACUGCUGGCUAGUGUACCUGUUCUGCCAAAAGUAAAAUGGGCUUACUGAGGAAAUUAAAUUUAUGUUCAAGUGCUAUUUCUUUAUGCACCGGGGAACAAGCAUUUCUAACAACCUGGUCCUACGUGGCUGAAACUGGAUCCCAGAAGCCCCGUCCUUCCCGAAGCUCGUAGCGGAAGUGACAUCAGCCCGCCGCCACUAUCUUUUCCCGCGCUGGCUGCCCACGGUCAGUGCUGUUUCACCUUUAUCUUGGUGGAGUCGACCCCGGCUGUGGACUUCAAAUAACCCUGUACAAAGAGGAAUGGAGAUUGCCUCUAUUCACCUAGAUUCAUAAGUUGCCCUGAGGCAAUCUUGGCAUCAAGGAAGAGAGCAUUGAGGCACAACUGACCAUCAGCUUCAGAGAAUGGCAGUCACUGAUUUGUCCCAUGGGUUUUUUCCCAGGGAACCAAUCUGCCCUUUUGAAGAAAAGACAAAGAUAGGAACGAUGGUGGAGGACUACCUGGCAAAUUCUUAUCAGCAGACAAGAAGCUACAGUGGAUGGAAACUCUGAGAAUUGUGGAGAGGUCUUCAGUGAAUGGUUUUGCCUUAAAACACACAUGAGAGCUCAGAAUGGAGGGAACAUCUUUGAGGGUAAUUGUUAUGGAAAAGACAUCCUCAGUGUGCACAAGGAAGCCUCUAUUGGACAGGAACUUUCCAAAUUUAAUCCAUGUGGAAAAGUCUUCACCUUAACUCCAGAUCUUGCUGCACAUCUUGGAAUUCUCAAUGCAAGACAACCAUACAAAUGUAAGGAAUGUAGAAAAGGCUUUAAGUAUUUUGCAAGCCUUGAUAAUCACAUGGGAAUCCACAUUGGAGAGAAAUUCUGUGAAUUUCAGGAAUGUAGGAGAGCCAUCACUCAUUCCUCACACCUAAAGCAGUGUGUAACAGUUCAUACUGGAAAGAAAUCUAAAAAGACUAAGAAACAUGGGAAAUCCUUCACUAAUUUUUCUCAACUUUCUGCACAUGUGAAAAUUCAUAAAGGAGAGAAGUCCUUUGAAUGUAAAGAAUGUGGAAGAUCCUUUAGAAAUUCCUCAUCCUUUAAUGUUCACAUUCAAAUUCACACUGGAAUAAAACCACACAAAUAUACGGAAUGUGGGAAAGCCUUCACUAGGUCAACUCACCUUACUCAACAUGUAAGAACUCACACUGGAAUAAAACCCUAUGAAUGUAAGGAAUGUGGCCAAGCCUUCACUCAGUACACGGGCCUUGCUAUACACAUACGAAAUCACACUGGAGAGAAACACUAUCAGUGUAAGGAAUGUGGGAAAGCCUUCAAUGGAUCCUCAACCCUUACUCAACAUAAAAUAAUUCACACAGGAGAGAAGCCUUAUGGAUGUGUUGAAUGUGGGAAGACCUUCAUUACUUCUUCCUAUCGUAGUAAACAUUUGAAAACUCACCAUGAAGAAAGGCCCUUUGUAUGCAAGAUAUGUGGGAAAGCAUUUCUAUAUUCCUCACCCCUUAAUGUUCACCUGCAAACUCAUACCAGAGAGAAAGCCCUCAUAUGUAAAGAAUGUGGGAAAGCUUUUGCUGUUUCCUCACACCUAAGUAGACAUGAAAGAAUUCACACUGGGGAGGAACCCUAUGAAUAUAAGGGUAUGAAUGUUACCAUUUAGCUCAUUGGUUGCCAUCUUUAAUUAGUGGCAGUGACACUAAAGAUAUUCAGAUUUGUCCUAAAUGCCUUUUGGAGGUUGUAAUGGCUCAUGAAUUGGCCUUGGGUGCCAUCACAAGGGUCUGAAAUUAAACCUACAGGUUCUGAAUACAACAUCAUGGUUGCCUGAGUCUGGGCAUCUGUGAAGAAGGGUAAUGGAUGGUGAGGUCAGUACUGCAGGCUACCUUACCUUGGUGAUUAGGUUUCUAAGAUCAUAGCAUUAAGAAUUUCUGUAUGAGAUAAGUCAUCUAGAUUGGUCCCAGCCCCUGUUAGUAGCUGCCAGUGUGGCACAUUCAUGUCAAAAUUUCCCAGAAGCCAAGAUGAUGUAGGCCCCAGAGGUGGGUUGUUAAAAGAUGCUCCUCUAAGGGUCUCUUCUGUUCCCACGGAUCCUGCAGAGCAUGGCAGGUAUGAAACCAUCCUUAACUGCCAGUGCACUUUCACAGCUGAUUAUUUCUGUGUCCCCUUCUUGUAAAAUCUAUGAUAUGUGACAGCCUUACCUGUUCUGUCUUCUCUGUCCAUUUUAGGUGGCACAACCUAAGUGGAAGUGUCUCUUCUAGUAUAAUCCAGUCUUUGUGCUCACGUCUGUUAAGAUGGCUGAUAUAGUCCAUGAAUCCCACUCAUGAUCUCUUUGUCAAAUGAUUGUUCAGCCACACUUUCAGGAUUCUCUUCAGUACAAGUUUUCUAAUUUUUGCAUUAUGGAUAGGCUGAGAAUUUUCCAAAUCUCCAGGUUCUGGUUCCUUUUUCUUUAACAAUUUCUUCUGCAAUUCAGGUCUCCUCUUUUGCAUUUUACUAUAAGCAGUCAGGAAGAAUGAAGCUUCCUGUGUCCUUUAACACUUUAAUUACAGAUCUUAGUGAUACAUACCCAGUUUUAUCUCUCUCAAGCUCUACCUUCCACAAAAUGCUAGAAUACAGUUUUGCUAAGUUCUUCACCACUUCAUAUAAAGGGUUGUCUUUUCUUCAUUUCCCAAUAGCAUGUUCCUCAUUCCCCAAUGACACCUCACCAGAAUCACCCUUACUAUUAUUUCCAGCUUGCAAAUCAGAAUUUUUCCAGCCUCUACUCAUUUGUCAGUUUCAAAGCUGCUUCACAUUUUUAGUUUUUUUAUUUGUUUGUUUGUUUUUAAUUCCAGUGCCUCACUUCUCAGUGCCAAAAUCUGCCUUAAUCAGCUCAGGCAACCAUAACAGAAUACCACAGAACAAAUGGCUUACAAAUUCAUUUAAUUUUAAAUAAAUGAGGUUAAAAACA